rnacentral:rRNA from 1 species
GACGUAGGAGGCGAGCGUUGUCCGGAUUCAUUGGGCGUAAAGAGCGCGCAGGCGGCUUGGUAAGUCGGAUGUGAAAUCCCGAGGCUCAACCUCGGGUCUGCAUCCGAUACUGCCCGGCUAGAGGUAGGUAGGGGAGAUCGGAAUUCCUGGUGUAGCGGUGAAAUGACGCAGAUAUCAGGAGGAACACCGGUGGGCGAAGGCGGAUCUCUGGGCCAUUACUGACGCUGGAGGAGCGAAAGCGUGGGGAGCGAACAGG